rnacentral:rRNA from 1 species
UACGUAGGGUGCGAGCGUUGUCCGGAAUUAUUGGGCGUAAAGAGCUUGUAGGCGGUUUGUCGCGUCUGCCGUGAAAAUCCGGGGCUCAACCCCGGACUUGCGGUGGGUACGGGCAGACUAGAGUGUGGUAGGGGAGACUGGAAUUCCUGGUGUAGCGGUGAAAUGCGCAGAUAUCAGGAGGAACACCGAUGGCGAAGGCAGGUCUCUGGGCCACUACUGACGCUGAGAAGCGAAAGCAUGGGGAGCGAACAGG